rnacentral:rRNA from 2 species
UGCAGUCGUACGGCAGCACCGGUGCUUGCACCUGGUGGCGAGUGGCGAACGGGUGAGUAAUACAUCGGAACAUGUCCUGUAGUGGGGGAUAGCCCGGCGAAAGCCGGAUUAAUACCGCAUACGAUCUACGGAUGAAAGCGGGGGACCUUCGGGCCUCGCGCUAUAGGGUUGGCCGAUGGCUGAUUAGCUAGUUGGUGGGGUAAAGGCCUACCAAGGCGACGAUCAGUAGCUGGUCUGAGAGGACGACCAGCCACACUGGGACUGCACGGCCCAGACUCCUACGGGAGGCAGCAGUGGGGAAUUUUGGACAAUGGGCGAAAGCCUGAUCCAGCAAUGCCGCGUGUGUGAAGAAGGCCUUCGGGUUGUAAAGCACUUUUGUCCGGAAAGAAAUCCUUGGCUCUAAUACAGUCGGGGGGAUGACGGUACCGGAAGAAUAAGCACCGGCUAACUACGUGCCAGCAGCCGCGGUAAUACGUAGGGUGCAAGCGUUAAUCGGAAUUACUGGGCGUAAAGCGUGCGCAGGCGGUUUGCUAAGACCGAUGUGAAAUCCCCGGGCUCAACCUGGGAACUGCAUUGGUGACUGGCAGGCUAGAGUAUGGCAGAGGGGGGUAGAAUUCCACGUGUAGCAGUGAAAUGCGUAGAGAUGUGGAGGAAUACCGAUGGCGAAGGCAGCCCCCUGGGCCAAUACUGACGCUCAUGCACGAAAGCGUGGGGAGCAAACAGGAUUAGAUACCCUGGUAGUCCACGCCCUAAACGAUGUCAACUAGUUGUUGGGGAUUCAUUUCCUUAGUAACGUAGCUAACGCGUGAAGUUGACCGCCUGGGGAGUACGGUCGCAAGAUUAAAACUCAAAGGAAUUGACGGGGACCCGCACAAGCGGUGGAUGAUGUGGAUUAAUUCGAUGCAACGCGAAAAACCUUACCUACCCUUGACAUGGUCGGAAUCCCGCUGAGAGGGGGGAGUGCUCGAAAGAGAACCGGCGCACAGGUGCUGCAUGGCUGUCGUCAGCUCGUGUCGUGAGAUGUUGGGUUAAGUCCCGCAACGAGCGCAACCCUUGUCCUUAGUUGCUACGCAAGAGCACUCUAAGGAGACUGCCGGUGACAAACCGGAGGAAGGUGGGGAUGACGUCAAGUCCUCAUGGCCCUUAUGGGUAGGGCUUCACACGUCAUACAAUGGUCGGAACAGAGGGUUGCCAACCCGCGAGGGGGAGCUAAUCCCAGAAAACCGAUCGUAGUCCGGAUUGCACUCUGCAACUCGAGUGCAUGAAGCUGGAAUCGCUAGUAAUCGCGGAUCAGCAUGCCGCGGUGAAUACGUUCCCGGGUCUUGUACACACCGCCCGUCACACCAUGGGAGUGGGUUUUACCAGAAGUGGCUAUGU